rnacentral:sRNA from 1 species
CUGCUGCCAUCCCCACCAGCUGCCGUCGGAGGAGCCAGCGCGACUGCCGUUCCCUCAGCCACUUCGAUGACUUCUACCAGGGCUGCUUCCGCAUCUUCUGUUCAUGUUCCUGUUUCUGUUCUUGGUGCAGGAUCUGCAGCUACUGCUGCAUCAGAAGAAAUGUAUGUGCCAAGAGUUGUAACCUCUGCACAACAGAAAGCAGGAAGAACUAUUACAGCCCGGAUCACAGGAAGAUGUGAUUUUGCUUCAAAAAAUAGAAUUAGCAGCAGUUUAGCUAUAAUGGGAGUUUCUCCUCCCAUGAGCUCAGUUGUUGUGGAAAAACAUCAUCCAGUCACAGUGGUGAGUCCACAUUUGAUGACCUUUUGUCAAAAAGUCUUUUUCCUGAGAGUUCAUAGACUAGUAAACACUUACAUAACAUGUUGAGAAGACAAAAAUUUAUGACAACUGGUACUUGUUUUGCCUUUUCCUGAUAGAGUUUUUUUUUUUUAAUAUAUAUACUUGUUUUUCUCAAACCUGCUAUAAAUCUACCUUUCUGCUGUUGGGAAAUUAAUUUCAGAAACAUCGUUUCUUCCAAACUGUAAAAAUUAU